UACGUAGGGGGCAAGCGUUGUCCGGAAUCAUUGGGAGUAAAGCGCGUGUAGGCGGCCAGAAAAGUCCGCUGUGAAAACUCGAGGCUCAACUUCGAGCUGUCGGUGGAAACUUUCUGGCUAGAGUCCGGAAGAGGAGAAUGGAAUUCCUGGUGUAGCGGUGAAAUGCGCAGAUAUCAGGAAGAACACCCGUGGCGAAGGCGGUUCUCUGGGACGGUACUGACGCUGAGAAGCGAAAGCGUGGGGAGCGAACAGG
rnacentral:rRNA from 1 species